rnacentral:lncRNA from 1 species
CACACUACCUUCAUGUCUAGGCACCAAGGAAAACAAGGCUCUUCAUGGCGUUUAGUUUAUGUGCCGAAAGAUGUGUCCCAGCAGAAACGGAGGAAGAGUCCCUUGAGAUAAACCCUGUAACGCACGUAAAGGAAGAUGCCUGCCACCGAACCGUCCAAGCACACAAACGCCCGUCCUCACCUCCAUCGCCCUCCGUGUAUCCGCAUCCAAUCGAGGCGAAACUUGGCUUCAAAACCUGGCAAACUCCCUUCUCAAAAAGAUGCUCUCCUGUCUCAAACUCCAUAUAUGGAAGGUCUUCGGAAAGAUGAUCUUCAUUGGACAGAUGAGAAAACCAAGGCCCGAAGAGGGAAGAUUCUUGCUCAGGGUCAUGCAGCAAGUUCAAGGACGUAUUACUCAGAAGGUUGGAACCAUUUUUUGACCUGCCAUUCAGAGGUUGUAUUUUAUUAUUAUUAUUUUUUAACUUUUUUUUUGCUUUUUAGGGCCACACCUGCGGCAUAUGGAAGUUCCCAGGCUAGGGGGUCAAAUUGGAGCUACAGUGGCUGACCUUAACCCAGUGAUCAAGGCCAGGAAUUGAACCUGUGUCCUCAUGGAUCCUAGUUGGGGUAGUUUCUGCUGAGUCACAGUGGGAACUCCCAUUCCGAGAUUUAAUCUAUUCAGCUAUUAAACUGCUUUUUUUUUGGGGGGGUGCCUAAUGUUUCCCAAGGGCUUGUAUUUAUGUUACCUUUCAUUCAUUUGAAUCCUUCAUUUUUUCAUUCAGUUGUUCAACAAAUAUUAUUGGGCAUCUAGCAUGAGCCAAGCACAUAGGAGCUGUGGCUGUAGUAGUGGGCAAAGCAGACAUGGUUUGUGCCCUCAUGGAACUUUUGGACUAGUGGUGAAAGUAGACAUUAAACAAAUAAUUACACAUAACUAAGUAAUUACUGACAUGUUAAUUAUCAGAAGAGAGAGUUCAUGGUGUUUUUAUAGAGACCUGACCAAGUGUCAGGGUGAGGCUGGGUGUAUCAGCCAGGUUAGGUUGUGCUUUGCUGUGUAACAAAUAGCCCUCAAACCUCUGGAGUUAACAGCGUGUAUUUGUUUCUCCCUUCUACAGAUCUGCUCCUCCUGUUCACUCAGGAACUGGCUGGGAGAGGCUCCAUUUCAACAUGGCUUACACAUCACAGGAGAAAUUCUUUCUAGCUUUUCUGCUAGAGACAACACAGGUCACUUCCUCUACACUUGUCAUGUGGCCUCACCUAACUUGGAGGCAGAUUGAAGGGGAGAUGCCGGAUGCCUACCAGGGAGAAGCAGGGAAGACUUCUCUGGUUUUAGCAGGGAUCUGAAUUGUGCAUGAGAGUUGACCAGGGAGGGAGUUUCCAUUGUGGCUCAGAGGGUUACUAACCCGACUAGUAUCCAUAAGGAUGUAGGUUUGAUCCCUAGCCUCAUUCAGUGGUUAAGGAUCCAGUGUUGCCAUGAGCUGUGGUAUAUGUUGCAGAUGCGGCUCAGAUCCAAUAUUGCUCCAGCUGUGGUGUAGAAUGGCAGCUGCAGCUCCAAUUUGACCCCUAGACUGGGAACUUCCAGACCCUAAAAAGCAAAAAAAAAAAGGAGUUGUCCAUAGAAAGGGUGACAUGGCAGGGUCUCAGGGAGCAGCUAGGGACUGGCAGCAGUAUGUGUACAGGCUCUGAGUUAGGAAGCAUCACAGCCUAUUUGAGCAGCAGAAGGAAGGCCAGAGUAGCUAGAACCCAGCCAGCAAGGGGAAAGUGGCUUCCAUUCCAAUGGGACUUGGGGAAUUAGAUGCCAGUGGACAACAGUUAGUCAUACCCCUGGGGAGGAGAGUGGCAGCAGAGUUUAUUUUGGUUUCAAUAUGAGAAACCAGUGGGUGGGGAAAGGGGCACAGAGAGUAGACAUCUGUGCCUCUCAACACACCUGCAAGGUGGGCAGAAUGCCCAUUCUAUUGGAAGGAACCUGGACCAGCGAGAUGAGUUGCUUGGCUGGAUGGUUGCAGUUGGUAAGCCUCUCUAGAAUCAGGAUUCAAAGCCUUUCCUUCAGACUCAGACAAUCCCUGGUCCCCACUGGCCACAGGGGUCUCCCCUAAUGUUGGAGGAAUCUUCCAUAUCUUGCAUCGUCGCUCAGCCCCCCGUGGGGCGGUGCUUAGGUUGGCGAAGCUCACUUAUGUUUUAUUGAAGGCCGUGUCUGGGACCAAGCAAGCUCUUUCAUUCACGUUCCCAAUUGCCACGGAGCAUCUGUCUCUGUGUCACGCCUCUGAGAAAACUUUCACAAGAUGAUAUUGAAUCAACAAGGAGGAAAUGUUGGGGGCAUCAAAGAGAAGUUUUAGAAAUGGCUGCUGGAAAAAGCAGGGGUGCCUUUUCCAUGCUGAGCUCCCCAUCUCCCAAUUAGCAUACAAAAACAUUUUUAAAGGAAUAACCUUUGCUAAUAAAACGCUAUAACCUCAAUAAGACA